CAGGAGGCUGUCCUUGACUAGCCGCGCGAGCCUAAGACAGCUAAACAAAACGAAUACAAACCCUCUGCAUGAACUGUAUGUGAAGUUGUCGGUCAUAGCUGAGGGUUGGGGUCAGGUCUUGGUCUAAUGUCACACAGUCCUGGUGAAGAGGGGGGUCUAUCUCAGGCUGCCCCAAAAGGCAACACUCAAUACCUGUUUGACAACCCCACUCAGACUGUGGCAACAGGGAAUACACCUGAGGAUCAGGUUCCGCCUGCAGUGGAUGAGGCCUCUCCUUCUUCCACCUCAUCCUUUGAGAUGCUUGACGCGGAGUCGGUGCCAGCUCCUUAUCGAGAAGUGCAGCCUCACUGGUUCUUCUGUCCGCGGGCAGAUGACAACACCACCUGGCUUCCUUUCAGCAGAGAAGACUCUGACAAACUAGAGAAUGCCUGCA